GGAGCGUUGGUCUAGUGGCCUAGGACGCACGGUUUUCAACCGUUGAGGACGCAGGGUUCGAAUCCCGCCCGCUCCGCCA
rnacentral:tRNA from 1 species